rnacentral:misc_RNA from 1 species
GAGAACCAAGAGAUCCGUUGUUGAAAGUUUUGACUAUUAAGUAAUAAUCUGGUGUGACAAGUUGAUAAAAAAUUGGUUGUAAGUUUAGACCUCUGGCUGCAGGCUGGGCCCACCGCCAAAGCAAGUUUGUUGAAAGAAAAACACAUGUGGUGCAAUUAAACAAAUCUGUAAUGAUCCUU